rnacentral:rRNA from 1 species
GACGAACGCUGGCGGCGUGCUUAACACAUGCAAGUCGAACGGAAAGGCCCUGCUUUUGUGGGGUGCUCGAGUGGCGAACGGGUGAGUAACACGUGAGUAACCUGCCCUUGACUUUGGGAUAACUUCAGGAAACUGGGGCUAAUACCGGAUAGGAGCUCCUGCUGCAUGGUGGGGGUUGGAAAGUUUCGGCGGUUGGGGAUGGACUCGCGGCUUAUCAGCUUGUUGGUGGGGUAGUGGCUUACCAAGGCUUUGACGGGUAGCCGGCCUGAGAGGGUGACCGGCCUCAUUGGGACUGCGAUACGGCCCAGACUCCUACGGGAGGCAGCAGUGGGGAAUAUUGCACAAUGGGCGGAAGCCUGAUGCAGCAACGCCGCGUGCGGGAUGACGGCCUUCGGGUUGUAAACCGCUUUCGCCUGUGACGAAGCGUGAGUGACGGUAAUGGGUAAAGAAGCACCGGCUAACUACGUG